GCCAGGCACGGUGGCGUGUGCCUGUAGUCCAAGCUACUUGGGAAGCUGAGGUGGGAGGAUCGCUUGAGCCCUGGAGUUCUGGGCUGUAGUGCGAUAUGCUGACCAGGUGUCCACACUAAGUUCGGCAUCAAUAUGGUGACCUCCUCGGAGCAGGGGACCACCAGGUUGCCUAAGGAGGGGUGAACCAGCCCAGGUCAGAAACGGAGCAGGUCAAAACUCCUGUGCUGAUCAGUAGUGGGAUCACGCCUGUGAAUAGCCACUGCACUCCAGCCUGGGCAACAUAGCGAGACCCCGUCUCU
rnacentral:SRP_RNA from 1 species